UGGGGAAUUUUGGACAAUGGGCGAAAGCCUGAUCCAGCAAUGCCGCGUGUGUGAAGAAGGCCUUCGGGUUGUAAAGCACUUUUGUCCGGAAAGAAAUCCUUGGCUCUAAUACAGUCGGGGGAUGACGGUACCGGAAGAAUAAGCACCGGCUAACUACGUGCCAGCAGCCGCGGUAAUACGUAGGGUGCAAGCGUUAACCGGAAUUACUGGGCGUAAAGCGUGCGCAGGCGGUUUGCUAAGACCGAUGUGAAAUCCCCGGGCUCAACCUGGGAACUGCAUUGGUGACUGGCAGGCUAGAGUAUGGCAGAGGGGGGUAGAAUUCCACGUGUAGCAGUGAAAUGCGUAGAGAUGUGGAGGAAUACCGAUGGCGAAGGCAGCCCCCUGGGCCAAAUACUGACGCUCAUGCACGAAAGCGUGGGGGAGCAAACAGGAUUAGAUACCCUGGUAGUCCACGCCCUAAACGAUGUCAACUAGUUGUUGGGGAUUCAUUUCCUUAGUAACGUAGCUAACGCGUGAAGUUGACCGCCUGGGGAGUACGGUCGCAAGAUUAAAACUCAAAGGAAUUGACGGGGU
rnacentral:rRNA from 1 species